ensembl:lncRNA
GGUUUCAACCGAUUACCUUGUAAAGCAGUUCAGGGCUAACAGAGUACGUCAGAGUCAAAAAUAAUCCUAAUGUUGUUUGCUAUUAUGGCUGUGAAAAUUUUAGUCAAGUACAGACUGAAAGCCCAAAGGAUGCUAAAGGAUUAUCUAGAAAGCAGAGCCUCAAGCCAAGUUUAAGUGCUAAGAUUUUAUUAGGAGGUACGACCCCUGGGCUGCAAGGGUGAGGCGAAAGGCAAUGAAAAGCAAUGCUUCGCUAAUCUGAAAACAACUUGAGGAGAAAGUACAGCUUCCAGACAGCCACACUGGGACCUGCUGCCUAUGGAGAAAACAGGAGAGCAGUUCUGGGACAGAGACUGGUGGAGAGCCCCAGAGCCGACGUAGACCGAGAGGAAGACGAGGAAUACCCGGAGCAGGAAGAGGCUGGCUGCCGCGGCGGCCACAGCGAAGAGCUCCAUUUGCAGCGUAGCCUCCAGCAGCCGGGACUCCGGGGCAUCUGCGAGGCGCUGCGUUGCCAUGGGAACGCGGCGGCGCCCGGGCGGAACCUAGCGUUUAUUACCUGAGAAUGGGGCGCGGGGACGCCGCGGCCCCUCCCCCCGAUCCCGCACCCCGGCGGGUCGACGCGCAUUCUCCCGGUCCCCGUCAGCUUUGCCGGGAAAGCUGAAAUCAGACGCUGCGCGAAGGACUCUUUGCAAAAGCUUCAGCCUGCUGGCCGAGCCGGACGCCCCGGCUGGAGGCCCCUGCGGGAUCGGCCCGCGCAGCCCUUGCUUUGUCGCCACUUCGGCUCGUCGCCCAGGCCCGGGGUGCGACGCGGGGCGCAGAGAGCCCCAUUCGCUUCGCCGACGCCCUAGGACCACGCCAGGAGUAGGAACGCAGCGCGACGUCCCGCAGAUGCAGACAGAACCCCGACGUGGGCAUUUUUGCAGAACCAUCCCAAAGCCAAGAGGCGUUGACUACUACUACUCGCCCCUCAGGCUCUCUAAGAGGAGGGAGGGAGCAUAAAAGACAUUUACCCCGAGUCCUAGUUAUUGGAACAUGUUUCUAACACCCUGGCUGUCCUAGUGGCUAGAAGCUUAUUGCAGGAAGGUAUUGUUUGCGUAAUUAAUUAAUAGAAACAAUAACUGGGCUCCUGAAACCCGCGCUGCCGGGUGCCGGGCGGAGGGCUGGACGGGAGGUGCUGGCCUGGCCGCUUCGGGAAGUACCGGCAGCGGUACCCGCGGGGCGCAUCCAUACCCAGGCUCACUCAACUUCCACGGUUUACUUAAUUAGGAGAAACGCAGAAAGCGGACGAGCUCUAUUUUACACACCGCACUUUCUCCUGUUGGGUCACUGGCGGAGCCCCUGUCUGCGGAGACAUCCGGGCUCCAUGCCUGGGGUUGAAAAAUCCGCCUCCAGGGAGCGAAGGUCUUGUCGCUCCAGGGUAUAAAUAUUAAUAAGCUGAGAGGCCGGGGCAUAAUUAUCUCUUUUUAAUUGCAACUCAACCAAAAAAUCCAGUCUCCUGCCACUCAGGCCCCACGAAGUCGGGAAUGCUAGGUUUUGGUGUCAGGAGACUCCCUCGGUGCAAAGUCGUUCUUUGUAUCCUCCGCCCAACAUAUAAACCAUAUGCUGCGCCUCUCGGCGUGUUAAAAGCACCCAUGCAGAGAUUUGAGCUGAAGGCCCUUCGCUCGCCUCAUCCCCGGCCGCCUAGUGCGCCCUAUUUGUCCCCCAGCUACCAGGGGACUUGGCCUCUAUCCCCCCUCACCCUAC